rnacentral:rRNA from 1 species
UGCGUAGGCGGAAUAUUAAGUCAGUGGUGAAAUCCCAGAGCUCAACUCUGGAACUGCCAUUGAAACUGGUAUUCUUGAAUAUAGUUGAGGUAGGCGGAAUGUGUAAUGUAGCGGUGAAAUGCUUAGAUAUUACACAGAACACCGAUUGCGAAGGCAGCUUACUAAACUAUGAUUGACGCUGAGGCACGAAAGCGUGGGGAGCGAACAGGAUUAGAUACCCUGGUAGUCC